UUUCACCUGAGAGAAUAAGGCUGAACAAGGGUCUCUCUGCAAUACACUAAUCUAUUUUUUAGCUUCUGGUCAGAGUUAGUGCUGCUUGACUGUCCUGCCAUGUCCUUCUGAGUAUCCUAUCACAGACCAGAGUUGUGUGAGCAAAGGAAGUCCACAUAUUGGACAGAGAACAUAUUCGACUGUGAACAUUCACAUCUGCAAUAGUAAUUACAGGAAAGGAAGCUGUCAACUUCAUGAUCUCCAUUAUGGAGAAGGGAAGACGUCUUCUAGAAGCAGCGAGGAAAUGAAAAUGUAAUCUCUCCACUUCAAAGCCCCAAUUCUCUAUGCCUGGAUCAUUUGUAUUCACGUAACAUGAUGUUUCGCAGAAUGAAGGUUUAAUUGAGAACUAUAUUUCAUUAUCCACGAAGAGAAAGUAGAGGUCAGCUCACCCAGGACGACCAACCGUGACCC